GAUGAACGCUAGCGGCAGGCUUAAUACAUGCAAGUCGAGGGACAGCACAGGUAGCAAUACUGGGUGGUAACCGGCAAACGGGUGCGGAACACGUACACAACCUUCCUUUAAGUGGGGGAUAGCCCAGAGAAAUUUGGAUUAAUACCCCGUAAUAUAGUUGAAUGGCAUCAUUUGAUUAUUAUAGCUACGGCGCUUAAUGAUGGGUGUGCGGCUGAUUAGGUAGUUGGCGGGGUAACGGCCCACCAAGUCUACGAUCAGUAGCUGAUGUGAGAGCAUGAUCAGCCACACGGGCACUGAGACACGGGCCCGACUCCUACGGGAGGCAGCAGUAAGGAAUAUUGGUCAAUGGACGCAAGUCUGAACCAGCCAUGCCGCGUGAAGGAUUAAGGUCCUCUGGAUUGUAAACUUCUUUAUUUGGGACGAAAAAGGGUCUUUCUAUACCAACAGACGGUACCAGAUGAAUAAGCACCGGCUAACUCCGUGCCAGCCGCCGCCGUAAAAC
rnacentral:rRNA from 1 species